rnacentral:pre_miRNA from 1 species
GGCCAAAAUUUGAACUUGAAUAGAUUAGUAGGAUCGGUUGACCCUACUAAACUAUUUCACUUCAAGUUUGUGCCC